AGCUCCACCCAUGAUCUCCCGUUAAAAAACGGAGUACCAGAAUGAAUGUUACCAACCAACGAACCAAACAGCCGCCGUUAGCGCGUAGCAAAAGCGGCCGUUGCACGCCACUGCUAACGCUUUUGACACUGACGUACCUUCCUCUCUCUCUCUCUCUCUCUCUCUCUCUCUCUCGCUCCUCUUGUUUGUUAUUCCAUUUUGUUCCCUUCGUCGGUGUUCAUCUCUCUCUCUCUCCGCGUGUCUCUGUCUUCAGCUCCGUACGGAUUCCGAUACUCUGAACAACAAGAGGGCGCGACGCGAGCGCCAUUUCGAUCUCAGAAAUCGAUUCACAUUCUGCUUUUUCCACGCCAGUGAUCGUCUAGGCGUGAGUUGUUUGCGUCUUGAAUAGAAUGCCAGGUUUAGGAGAAGAAUUAUUAGUUCAAGAAGAUGAGAGGAGUAGAAGUUUGGAUCCUGAAACAUCUGAGGACGAGUGGAGGAAAUCUCAAUCCAGAUCUCUUAGGAGAAAACCAAUGACUACUUCAACAAGACUCACUUGUCUCAGGAAGCGUAGUAAGCGUGUAGCCGAUUAUCAACUUGCUUCAAUUUUCAUAGAAGAUGUACGUGAUGCCAAAGAGGAAGAAGCUGUCAAUUCAUUUCGUUUAGCACUACUUACAAGAGAUUUGCUUCCAGAAUCACAUGAUGAUUAUCACACAAUGCUGAGGUUUCUGAAGGCCAGAAAGUUUGACAUUGAUAAAACGGUCGAGAUGUGGGCAGAUAUGCUCCAUUGGAGGAAGGAGUAUGGUGUAGAUUCUAUUUUACAGGAUUUCAUAUACAAGGAGUAUGAAGAGGUCCAGCAUUAUUAUCCUCAUGGUUACCAUGGUGUGGACAAAGAGGGGCAUCCAGUUUAUAUUGAAAGACUUGGCAAAGUUGAACCUAGCAAAUUGAUGAGUGUUACCACUGUAGAUCGGUUUUUAAAAUAUCAUGUUCAGGGAUUUGAGAAAAUAUUUAAAGAGAAAUUCCCAGCAUGUUCUAUUGCUGCAAAGCGGCACAUACAUAGAACAACAACAAUAUUGGAUGUGCAUGGCGUGAAUUGGGUGAGCUUUAGCAAACUUGCACAUGAUCUUGUUAUGCGUAUGCAAAAAAUUGAUGGCGAUAACUAUCCUGAGACAUUAAAUCAGAUGUUCAUUGUUAAUGCUGGUAGUGGGUUCAAGCUACUAUGGAAUACAGCAAAAGGAUUUCUGGAUCCAAGGACCACAGCCAAAAUAAACGUUUUAGGGAACAAGUUCCAGAGCAGAUUGUUAGAGGUUAUAGACUCAAGCCAACUUCCCGAUUUCCUGGGCGGAGGUUGUUCAUGCCAAAAUAGUGGAGGGUGUCUUAGAUCUAACAAGGGACCUUGGAGCGAUCCUGACAUUUUGAAAUUGUUAAAUUCCAGGGAAGCAACAAAGCCAACAAAAUACGGAACUUCUUCUGUUGCCAAUGAGUCAGAUGUGAAGUCAUAUGCUAGCAAGCUCACUAAUAAAUUAGUUACAAGCACUGAAAUAUCGGAAACUGGAUCAGCAUCAGAAGCAAGAUUGAGUCCUUCAACCUUCAUGCGAUCAGUUCCUUCUAGUGACCAAAAAAAUAUGAGAGACUUGGCAUCUAUGCGCAACCUAGUUGAGCCUGUCAAUGCUGCCAGUGAAGUUGGUGUUGUUGAUUCAACAAGUGAUUCAAACAACAAUCAUCCCAGAAGACCACCAAAGAAGCUAAUUCCCUGCAUCACAAGUAUUUUGACUCAAGUCAUAGUCAAAGUGUUAGCUUGUAUUUAUGUAGUAUUUACAGCUGUGAGGAAUUAUUUUGUGGUUCGACCAGGAAGCCAUCAGAAAGCCGAGUUAAUUGAAUCCAAUUCUCAGGAACAAUUGAUCUCUCCGGCAAUAAAUGAGCCACUUUGGCAGAGGUUGCAGAAUUUAGAGACAGUAGUAACUCAGAUGACAAAUAAACCAAGAACAAUUCCUCCUGAGAAAGAAAAUAUUCUUCAAGAGUCAUUGAGUCGUAUAAAAUCUAUAGAAUAUGACUUGCAAAAGACAAAGAAGGCGCUACUUGCAACUGCUUCAAAGCAAGUUGAGCUUGCCGAGUCACUAGAAAGCUUAAAGGAGAGUAGAUUUGAUGGAACAAACUCAUGUUGGCCUAAAAAUAGUAAAUGCUAUGCCCCAGGAAGAUGAGUAUCCCUCUUUUCAGAAUCAGUUUGAGAAGAUUGCUACUCAACUGUUUUUCAUACUCUACAAAUGAAUUCCAACUAGAUCUAAACUUCUACUGGCUUAUAUAAAGGAUUUUCUCCCAUAGGGUUGAGGAAUGGGAUAUGGGGAAUUGCUGUCCCCAGUCUAUACAAGGCAGCAAGAAGAAUUUAUAAGGGUUUUGGACUGAGUUCUUCCUUUUGAGGUAACUAAGUGUUUUAACCACAUUUUUUUAUUGGUUUUCCUGUACAGAGUACAUAGCUACAAAAAAUGCUACUCAGAUUCAGAUGUAUUUAUUUCAAUAUUGGUAUCAUUUAUGUGCAUAAGGAAACUUUUCCGUGAUA